ACUCCCCCUCACCGCCUGUGCAGAACCCCCCCGCCACCUUCUCCUCGUCUCUCAGGGAAACGAAUCUGUGGAGCACCGGCCCCUCCCCGUCUGCUCUGCAAAUCAGCCGGCCGUGACCAAGAGGAGGUGGAGAAAUGGGGACCCAGCGCUGAUGGCACGGACUGGCAGAGCCUCGCCGCGGGAGGAGGGGGCCCGGGGAGCCCGCCCAGUGCUGGCAGCACUUUUAUGUAUGCAGCUAGAAGCCCUCCCUGCCUGCUGACAGCUGCACGGGAAGACUUCGGGGAUGUUUAUGGUUUUUUUUCUCUCUCAUUUUUUUCUUGUGGCGACUGGGGCCUGUUGUUAAGAUAAAUCAGACUUCAG